AAUAAACUAAAAAUAAAUGAUGUUUUACGCAGGGGAACUCCUCUGCCAAGCAUAUCUCCUGGUUACUGUUGGCUUUAUUUAAAGGGAACCACAGCUAGGAGUUAUUAGCUGUACAUAUGAAAACACAGCUUGAAGGUACUUAAACAUCUGUGCAAUGGGCCUGCAUGUAGGGUAUGAUGGAGUUUUAUAAACAUCGAGGUAAUUACGCCCUUCUCGAGAAUGGCAGCAUUUCCCUGCUGGCAGGAUUUCUAGCAGGCUUCUCGGAGCUGUGGCAUAUACAAGCCUCAGUUCUACCUCCCAAAAUGCUAAGAUGUAACCCUUUGAAGGCAAAGGAUACAAAGGAGAGGACCCUGGGUGACUCAGUGGGUUAAGCAGCUCAGGUCAGGAUCCCAGGGUCCUGGGAUUGAGCCCCGAGUUAGGCUCCCUGCUCAGCGGGGGGCCUGCUUCUCCCUCUCCCUACCCCUACCCUGUUCGUGCUCUCUCUCUCUCAAAUAAAUAAGUAAAAUCUUUUUUUUAAAAAGGCUACAAAUUACUGUAUCCAUGUCCUAGGUCUCAGAAAUACUCCUUUUCUGAACUGAGAUAAAAAUGUCCCUUGUCCCAAGGAACUUUUUAAAAAAUAUUCAAUGAAGAGAAAAUAACUAUCCUUUAUGCAGAGGAUUGAGUUCAUUGUGUACCUCGCUUGUCUUCGUUGGUCUGUAUAAGUCUCUCUCUUCUUUCUUCUUUCUCUUUUACCCCCUUCUGAUCCCUGGGCUCCCUCCCACCUAGAGGUCAGCUGUCUAACGUGGGUAUUGUAUAAAUAGAUGUAUUUAUUUUUGCUCACCAUUCUUUCGAAGUGAGUGUUGUAUGCAUCUUUCAUGAGGCCAUGCAUACCUUAUUUUUGAGAGUUCAAUGUCAGAAUGUGGGAGAAGAGUGGUGCACAGUGCCUGAUGAGAGAUGAAAACCAAGCCCAGGAAAUAAAAAUGGAAGAAACAACACACAAGUUCAAUAGCUUCAGAGGUCAAGAAUUUAUUUGGAUAAGCAAGGCUGGAGCAGCACCGGGGAGCGUGCAAAUAAUUUCCCCCCAAAUCUGGACUCCAGGACAUUCCUCCUGCACACAGAUGAACGCCCCCAUGAGCAAAUUGCCUCUCCAGCCUGUCCAGAGUCACCUAGACUGCUGGCAAAUGGUUUUUUCAGAGCAAGGUAAGCACUGUGGAGAACCGGAGGCUGUAUAUUUAAACAAUUAUGGGCCUCUGUGUGUCUCUGCCUCCUGCCGUACAGUCCCGAGCAAGAUGGUGUAAUAUGUGCAUUUUACAUAUCAAUGGCAGAGGAGGCUGUUUCCAGAUGGCUGUACCUAUUUCAAAGCCACCUUUUUAUGCAGAAGGAAGACUGUGUGACCUCCCUCCAAGUAAAUGUGUUUUGUAAGCCCUGGGAAUGAAUGCUUAAAAAAUGGUCCUGGGCUAUAUUUCAUGUCCAGUCCAUGGUGGUGUGUGUGCACAGCUGUUCCGGGCUGGCAUGUGGUAGCAUAUUAAAAGGAAGAUUACCAUUUCCCAUUUUUUCCCCCUUCUGAAGGCUUGAUAUGCAUAUAUGAAACUUGUGAAAAAACUCGGCAUAAUGAGACAAGGAAGCCGGGUCUCAAGGCACUAGUCGGUGCACAUCUGGAGUUUGUAGCAUUCUAGAGAUAGUUACUUAUUCCCAGGAGCCCCUGGCGGAGUGGGAAUGGUAGCCCGGUAUCCAUGGUGAGCUUCCCUAUCGCAUCGUGCCAGGUGUGUGCGUGUGUGUUAUUUCUUGGAAAGGCUGUCCUCUGAGGGGUGGGGAGGGGAGAGGACGAGAGGAGGGAAAAAAACAGAAGGGAGGUAAUUAGGCGCCACCUUGCCCAGCGGAGCCAGCUCAGGCGUCUGAAAUCAGGAGUGGGUAUUGGAGGGGCGCGGAGUCAGAUGGUGCCGGAGCCUUCUCGGCGCCUGCCAGCUCUGCGCUUGUUUCUAUGGGGACAGGACCAGGGAAGAGGAGCCCUGGGGUCAGAGGAGGCACACAGAUAACAGGACCAAGCGGGAAGGCUCUGGGAAGGCCCCUGCUACCUGCCUCCCACGCCACGUGGUGCUGGUCUGGAACUGCCCACCUGAAUUCAUGCUGGGUUUUUUUUGGCAGUUAAGAAAUUGGAAGUGUUUCAGGCCUUCUAGGCUGUUCUUUAGAACAAGCCUCUGCGGGGUAGCUUUUCUACUGGAUCUCCGAAUGGCUGGCCUUUGUAUUCCCAUGGAAUGGACAGAGAGGUGAGGGUCAGGGACCGUAGGGACCUGCCUUACCUGAGCGGGAAGCCGAGAGCGAGUCUGGGAACUUUUCCCAGGGAGAGGGUUCGUUGGAGUUUCACAGAUGCAUGGGAUUCGUGGAUUUUUUUUUUCUUUUUCCUUUUGAGCUGCAAGAUUGCGAGGUUCCAGAUGCUCUGUGUAAAACAAUGCCCCACAGGGGAAAGCCAGGGAGAGGAAGUGUGAGGUCCAGCUUGAGGCCACCCUAAAAAGGACUAUAAACAGCAGCUGCUUCUAUUGUGUGUGCCAAGCGCUGCCUGUGAGCUUAGGCCUUCUAACUCCUGGUUUCUUUCUCUGAAGCCAGAUGUGACCAACAGGAGUCUGUCAAGUCAGAGGUGGACCCCAGAUGGUGGGAAUCCGGCAAGGGAAGCAGAGGGGCUCGUGGAAGGUGUCUUGUGCCCUAGCGGGGAGAAGGCUGUCUGCCCUUUCUUGGGGGCCUUGGCCUCACCCCGCCCCGUGUCUGUGGUCCUGUCACCCAGCGCCCUAGGUCUGGCAGCUGAGGCAGAAUGGGAGAAGGGAGUCUUACUUGGCUGAUCUUCCAGCUCCGACAUGAGGCCACAGGAUGACGGCAGAGGAGUCCCCAGAGGAGCCACGGUGGGGUAAACCCCAGAUGUGGGGCAGGAAGAGGAGUCAACAAACGAGCUCAUGCCUUGGGACCCUGCAGCCCUGGGUGAUGAAACACGAGGAUGUGAGCAGGAAAAGACAGAGAUAUUUCACUCAGCCAUGCUGGCAAAGGGAUGGUCAGUUCCUCUGUUAAUAGGGAAUAAACGUCAACUUCAGAGCCUUACCUCUUCUAGU
ensembl:lncRNA